rnacentral:rRNA from 1 species
ACAGAGGUGGCAAGCGUUGUUCGGAAUUACUGGGCGUAAAGGGCGCGUAGGCGGCCUUCUUAGUCGGACGUGAAAUCCCCAGGCUCAACUUGGGAACUGCGUCCGAUACUGGAUGGCUUGAGUGCGGGAGAGGGAUGUGGAAUUCCAGGUGUAGCGGUGAAAUGCGUAGAUAUCUGGAGGAACACCGGUGGCGAAGGCGGCAUCCUGGACCGACACUGACGCUGAGGCGCGAAAGCUAGGGGAGCAAACGGG